rnacentral:rRNA from 1 species
GACAGAGGGUGCAAACGUUGCUCGGAAUCACUGGGCGUAAAGGGCGUGUAGGCGGGCAGGUAAGUCGGGCGUGAAAUCCCUGGGCUCAACCCAGGAACUGCACUCGAAACUACUUGUCUUGAGUGUCGGAGAGGAAAGCGGAAUUCCUGGUGUAGAGGUGAAAUUCGUAGAUAUCAGGAGGAACACCAGUGGCGAAGGCGGCUUUCUGGACGAUAACUGACGCUG